rnacentral:lncRNA from 1 species
UGAGUUCCAACGUCCGGAUUGGCAUAAUCCAUUCGCCUAUUUGCACCGGACACGAGGCGCACUCCGAGUAGGUAUUAAAUGUCGACCCAGGGCCUUCUACUCGCCACUUGUCACUCGCUUCUAUAUGUAUGCCAUGCAUGCGUGCGAAUGAUCUACUUAUGAAUGAAUGCGUGGCUCCUGUAUCAAAUAAAGCCCUGGAGCGAACUCCGUUAAUUAAAACCAUACCUGCCACAAGGCGAUGCUCCUCCGCCUCCGCAGGUUCCUCAGCUUGGACCUGAGCGGCGAAUACCCGUCCGCUCGGGGCCGAUCGCGCCACCUCAGGUUGACGCGGCAUCAUCGCGCGUCCAGUCGACGCGGCCGUCGGUGGAGCUCCUCCAUAGUGAGCCGGAAUCGCCGGCGCCGAUGCAAUCGAAGGGGCAGGUGAGGCUCCUCCUCCCGGGCAAUCUCGAAUGAAGUGUCCCGGCUGCCCACAUUUGUAACAUUUGCCUCAGCCUUGUUCACAGCGCGAGACCGGGUGGUCUCCGCAUCAUACAAUGCAUCGCCGCGCUCCACCGCCUUUCUGUUGAGUGCGCGAGUACUUCGGGGGUUUCUUGUAACGUGUCUGACCACCCGAACUACCGCCGCCUUGGCGUUUCUUGCCCUUGUCCUUGGACUCCGCCAAAAGCUCACGCUUCUCCCGAACGUGGGCGUCUCCGUGCUCCGCCCAUAGCGCUCGAUCAAAGACCUCAGCAAAGGUCGUGAGCUUAAGUAUUUGCACGGCCUUGUAGAUUCCCGGCCGAAGUCCUCGCAAGAACCACU